CCCAGUUUCGCUCAUCUCCCUGUCCCCUCGUGUCUGCCCUCUGCCCUUUCAACUCCCCCAGAAUAACACACACACACACACCCACCCAAAGCAUAGAAAACAUCUCAUGGUGGAAGCUGCAGUGUGUCCCAGUGUGUCCCACAGGAUAUCCCUCUGUCCACAUGCCUUCACUUGCGAAUGCUCAUUGCAAUGUGUCUGGUUAGAAGACUCUGGCUUCUGUGACACCAACAUUGAAUUCUCACUGGGACUCCUCCUGGUUAUCCUAUGUGUUCCCCUGUGUCAUGAGAUCUUGGAGUUUUGGAUCAGCCGGAGUGGCCCUUUCACACCCCCCCCCCCAAAUUCACAGGUGAGGUAGAUGUUGGGAUAGGCCAACUCAAAAGCCUUGGAUCUGGGCAUGGGUGGCAGUUGAGCAGGUCAGCCCUCCAGUCCUUACCACACCACCAGGGCCAGCUCUCCAGCACUGCCCUGGCUAGGCCACCCAAUGCUGCUACUGGCAGGAAGGAGGCAGCUCUUCUGCUGUCAUGCCCUCUGGGUGGCUCACCUGUACCCAUACCUCUCCAGCCAGCUCCACUGUGCUGCUCAGUAAAAGUUCGAGGCCCACUCAGUGCUGUAGCUGGCAAGAGGCUGGGCCAGCGUUCCUGCUCUCAGGACCCAGGGCCAGCUUUCCUAACUGCUGGGCGUGGUGAGGGGUGAGUCUGACCAAGCCCGCUCAGUCAGUCAACAGGUUCUCCAGCGCGGGAGUGAGGAUUAAAAAGAAAAAAAGAUAGUUAGACAACAUUGUAGCAUGACCCAAGUCAAUUCUCAGACUGAAGGCAAAUUUAAUUUUCCAAUCCACUUUUUAUACAUUUUAAUUACAUGCAGGUAUUUUGGGCGAGCAGUACAAUAAGGAACUAACAAGGCAGUAAGCGAAGUCCUGUGAUUACUCCCAUGGCAGUUGUUUAAAAGGGCUUGUUAUAAUGACCCAACACUUGAGCCCACUUCCUCGUCCAAGCCCAAAAUCUUGCCUGAAGCCUAGUUCUUCUGUUCCAUCCUGAGACAUCCUAAAAUUCCUGCCUUACCCGACUUCCUUAUUACAGCCUAAAGUUAGAUUCUUACUGAAACUGACUUCCUUAUUAUGCCCUAAUGUCAGAGUCCUGCCUGAGCUUACUUCCAAUGUCAGAUUCCUGCCUGAAGCCCAUUUUCUGCCAAGUGGUAUCCCAGAAGGCUUUCCAGCAAUUAGGUGUGGGAAGGGCCUCACCUCCACACCAGCACAACCCCAUGGUGGAGGAGUGGUGAGGCCAGCGCUCCCAUGCUGGCUUUACCUUAGGGCCGGAUCACCUGCGGCCCUGCUACUAGGGCCAGCUCUACUGUGCUGCACAGACCAGGCAAAGGACCCACUCUCCCGAGUGCACAGCUGUUGAGGGGCAAGACCCGCUCUCCCACUCUCAUGACUCCCCAGCCAGCUCCCAAUUGCCAGUUAUGUGUGUUUCGGGUGGAGGAGGUUUAUCACCUCUACACGUGUGCCACAAACAUGCUGGGGAGGAUGUAUUUCAGGGGCAGGACACUUGGGUGGCAUGAAUGUGCUUGACCGGUAUGUCAGAGGUCCUAGGUUCACUCCUCCUAGCUGCAAAAAACAUCAAAAACAAAACAAAACAAAAAAGUAUAGCAAACCUCUAAAAUCAGCCUACCACCACCAUCACCACCACCAGCAGCAGCAAUAAAACAACCCCUCAAACCCACAACAAAACACAACAACAAAACAAGCCCCAGCCGGGCGGUGGCGCACGCCUUUAAUCCCAGCACUCGGGAGGCAGAGGCAGGUGGAUUUCUGAGUUUGAGGCCAGCCUGGUCUACAAAGUGAGUUCCAGGACAGCCAGGACUAUACAGAGAAACCCUGUCUCGAAAAACAAAACAAAACAAAAAACAAGCCCCAAACAAACAGCAGAACACCAUGGAAAGAGACCGAAUGUGAGCUGAUUACCUCGUGGGACUGGAGGGAAAAGCUCCGUCAUCGACUUAGUCAUGUUUUCUUUCAAAUAACAAAAAAUAUCAUGUUUAUUAUAAAGACAGGAUCUCACUGUGUUGCAAAGAUUGGCCUUGAACUCACAGGAAUCCUCCAGUCUCAGUCGCAGGAAAUUACAAGCAUGAGCCACCACACCCAGCCUGUAGUGUAAUUUUUAGUAGACAUGGUCUUUUUCUGUUGCUCAGGCUAACCCCAAACUUCUGGACUUGAGCAUGCCUCCCCAGUCAGCCUCGGGCAUGCACAGCUCCAGGCACACACUGCCCUGCCUGGCUCCAUCCCAGCAAUGCUGUUCAAGGCCUGCCAUGUUUGAGGGACUGUUUCAGUGGUGAAAUAAAACAGAUCACCAAGCCCAGCCCCCACUCUCAUGGAGGUCGGGGCACCCACUGUGCUGAUUUGGGCGAUGGAGAUCCUGCAUCCUGGGAGACCAGGAACAGUCUGUCUCUAAGUGUUAGGGGAGCAUACUCCUUUGUACUCCGUUCAUUUCAGGUGUUUUGCAUGCACAUAUGCCUGUGCACCACAUGAGAAUCUGUCUGCAAAACAACUACAGGGUCAACAACCUACAUAAAGAUGAGAAGUGCGACUGCCUCCUCUGAUUGCAACACAUGUACCAUUGUCUUAAGGGUCACUGUUCUGUUGCUUCGAGGAUGCAUCGAGACCAAGGAAACUUUUAAAAGGAAGCAUGUGAUCGGGAGCUUGCUUACAGUUUCAGAAGGUUUGUCCAUGACCAUGAUCAUCACGGCAGGAAGUGUGGGGGCAGGCAGGCUGAGAGCCAUGGUGCGGGAGCAGGAGAGAGAGAGAGAGAGAGAGAGAGAGAGAGAGAGAGAGAGAGAGAGAGAGAGAGAGGGAGGGAGGAGAGGAAGAAGUGGGAAGGAAGAGAGGAGAGAGAGACUGGGCCUGGCGCGGGCUUUUGAAACCUCAGAGCCCACCCACUGUGACACACUUCCUCCAACAAAGCCACACCUCCUAAUCCUUUCCAAACAGUUCCACCAAAUGGGACAAAGAAUUCAAAACCAGGGCUGGAGAGAUGGCUCAGUGGUUAAGAGCACUGACUGCCCUUCAGAGGGUCUGUGUUCAAUUCCCAGCAACCACAUGGUGGCUCGCAACCAUCUGUAAUGGGAUCUGAUGCCCUCUUCUGGUGUCUCUGAACACCGACCGUGACAGUGUACUCAUAUACAUAAAAUAAAUAAUUCUAAAAGAAAAAAAAGUCUGGGGAAAAAAAAGAAUUAAAAAACAUAUGAAGGGAACCGUUCUCAUUUGAACCACUUCAGCCAUAUACACAAUACUGAAUGAAACAGAAUCUUAAAAAGUAAUAUCUAACAACAUCAAAGUUUCCCUCUCCCGUUUUCUCUCAAUGGCAUUUUCCUUUGCUGACUGUCACAUAUGUUGGCUGUGUGUAUGGGUAUAUCACAAGUAGCAAUUUAGGUGGGUAUUGUCAAGGGUAGUUAUAGCUGUAGGCACACAUUUAUGCAGAUAUAUACCUAAAAACACAUUCCUAAAUAGAUGUAGUUGUGAAAGAUGUAUUUUGGCUACAGACUGAGAUAUAGCCACAUAGCUAUAUGUAUGGGCUAUGGAUAGUGUAUGCAUGUUUUUC
rnacentral:lncRNA from 1 species